UGAGGAAUAUUGCGCAAUGGAGGAAACUCUGACGCAGCCAUGCCGCGUGAAGGAUUGAAUGCCCUAUGGGUUGUAAACUUCUUUUGUACGGGAAAAACCCUUGCUCGUGAGCGAGGUUGAUGGUACCGUAAGAAUAAGCACCGGCUAACUCCGUGCCAGCAGCCGCGGUAAUACGGAGGGUGCAAGCGUUAUCCGGAUUUAUUGGGUUUAAAGGGUGCGUAGGCGGUUUAUUAAGUCAGUGGUGAAAGACGGUCGCUCAACGAUUGCAGUGCCAUUGAUACUGGUAGACUUGAGUAUGAUUGAGGUAGCUGGAAUGGAUAGUGUAGCGGUGAAAUGCAUAGAUAUUAUCCAGAACACCAAUUGCGUAGGCAAGUUACUAAGUCAUAACUGACGCUGAGGCACGAAAGUGUGGGUAUCAAACAGGAUUAGAUACCCAAGUAGUCCCUGAGCGGGCUGGCAAGGCGCAU
rnacentral:rRNA from 1 species